rnacentral:rRNA from 1 species
UACGUAGGGUGCAAGCGUUGUCCGGAAUUAUUGGGCGUAAAGAGCUCGUAGGCGGCCAAGUCAGUCGGGUGUGAAAUCCCUCGGCUACAACCGAGGAACUGCGCCCGAUACUGCUUGGCUUGAGGGCCGGAGGGGAGAGUGGAAUUCCUGGUGUAGCGGUGAAAUGCGCAGAUAUCAGGAGGAACACCAAUGGCGAAGGCAGCUCGCUGGGACGGUACUGACGCUGAGACGCGAAAGCGUGGGGAGCAAACAGG